rnacentral:rRNA from 1 species
UACGUAGGAGGCAAGCGUUGUCCGGAAUCACUGGGCGUAAAGCGCGUGUAGGUGGUGCGACAAGUCUGCUGUGAAAGCGCCUGGCUUAACCGGGCGAGGUCGGCGGAAACUGACGUACUGGAGGCCGGUAGAGGGGGGGGGUGGAAUUCCCGGUGUAGUGGUGAAAUGCGUAGAGAUCGGGAGGAACACCUGUGGCGAAGGCGGCCCCCUGGGCCGGCCCUGACACUGAGACGCGAAGGCGUGGGGAGCGAACGGG